rnacentral:tRNA from 1 species
UCCCUCGUGGCGCAAUUGGCAAGCGCGUUCGACUGUUAUCUGAGAUUAGUCAGCUGCAUCGAGAGGUUGAUGGUUCGAGCCCAUCCGAGGGAG